AACGAACGCUGGCGGCAGGCCUAACACAUGCAAGUCGAGCGCCCUUUCGGGGGAGCGGCGGCCGGGUGAGUAACGCGUGGGAAUAUGCCCUUCUCUACGGAAUAGCCUCGGGAAACUGAGAGUAAUACCGUAUACGCCCUGUGGGGGAAAGAUUUAUCGGGGAAGGAUUAGCCCGCGUUGGAUUAGGUAGUUGGUGGGGUAAUGGCCUACCAAGCCGACGAUCCAUAGCUGGUUUGAGAGGAUGAUCAGCCACACUGGGACUGAGACACGGCCCAGACUCCUUCGGGAGGCAGCAGUGGGGAAUCUUAGACAAUGGGGGCAACCCUGAUCUAGCCAUGCCGCGUGAGUGAUGAAGGCCUUAGGGUUGUAAAGCUCUUUCAGCUGGGAAGAUAAUGACGGUACCAGCAGAAGAAGCCCCGGCUAACUCCGUG
rnacentral:rRNA from 1 species